rnacentral:rRNA from 1 species
GAUGAACGCUGGCGGCGUGCCUAAUACAUGCCAGUCGAGCGAACGGACGAGAAGCUUGCUUCUCUGAUGUUAGCGGCGGACGGGUGAGUAACACGUGGAUAACCUACCUAUAAGACUGGGAUAACUUCGGGAAACCGGAGCUAAUACCGGAUGAUAUUUUGAACCGCAUGGUUCAAAAGUGAAAGACGGUCUUGCUGUCACUUAUAGAUGGAUCCGCGCUGCAUUAGCUAGUUGGUAAGGUAACGGCUUACCAAGGCAACGAUGCAUAGCCGACCUGAGAGGGGAACCGGCAAAACGGGAACGAAGACACGGUCCAGCCUCCAACGGGAGGAAGCGGUGGGGAAUCUUCCGCAAUGGGCGAAAGCCUGACGGGGCAACGCGGCGUGGGUAAUAAGGGUCUUCGGAUGGUAAACCCCUGUUAUUGGGAAGAACAUAUGUGUAAGUAACUGUGCACAUCUUGACGGUACCUAAUCAGAAAGCCACGGCUAACUACGUG